rnacentral:rRNA from 1 species
GGUUAAGCGACUAAGCGUACACGGUGGAUGCCCUGGCAGUCAGAGGCGAUGAAGGACGUGCUAAUCUGCGAAAAGCGUCGGUAAGGUGAUAUGAACCGUUAUAACCGGCGAUGUCCGAAUGGGGAAACCCAGUGCAAUUCGUUGCACUAUCGUUAACUGAAUACAUAGGUUAACGAGGCGAACCGGGGGAACUGAAACAUCUAAGUACCCCGAGGAAAAGAAAUCAACCGAGAUUCCCCCAGUAGCGGCGAGCGAACGGGGAGCAGCCCAGAGUCUGAAUCAGCUUGUGUGUUAGUGGAACGGUCUGGAAAGUCCGACGGUACAGGGUGAUAGUCCCGUACACCAAAAUGCACAGGCUGUGAACUCGAAGAGUAGGGCGGGACACGUGGUAUCCUGUCUGAAUAUGGGGGGACCAUCCUCCAAGGCUAAAUACUCCUGACUGACCGAUAGUGAACCAGUACCGUGAGGGAAAGGCGAAAAGAACCCCGGCGAGGGGAGUGAAAAAGAACCUGAAACCGUGUACGUACAAGCAGUGGGAGCACCUUCGGGUGUGACUGCGUACCUUUUGUAUAAUGGGUCAGCGACUUAUAUUCUGUAGCAAGGUUAACCGUAUAGGGGAGCCGCAGGGAAACCGAGUCUUAACUGGGCGUUAAGUUGCAGGGUAUAGACCCGAAACCCGGUGAUCUAGCCAUGGGCAGGUUGAAGGUUGGGUAACACUAACUGGAGGACCGAACCGACUAAUGUUGAAAAAUUAGCGGAUGACUUGUGGCUGGGGGUGAAAGGCCAAUCAAACCGGGAGAUAGCUGGUUCUCCCCGAAAGCUAUUUAGGUAGCGCCUCGUGAACUCAUCUUCGGGGGUAGAGCACUGUUUCGGCUAGGGGGUCAUCCCGACUUACCAACCCGAUGCAAACUACGAAUACCGAAGAAUGUUAUCACGGGAGACACACGGCGGGUGCUAACGUCCGUCGUGAAGAGGGAAACAACCCAGACCGCCAGCUAAGGUCCCAAAGUCAUGGUUAAGUGGGAAACGAUGUGGGAAGGCACAGACAGCCAGGAUGUUGGCUUAGAAGCAGCCAUCAUUUAAAGAAAGCGUAAUAGCUCACUGGUCGAGUCGGCCUGCGCGGAAGAUGUAACGGGGCUAAACCAUGCACCGAAGCUGCGGCAGCGACACUAUGUGUUGUUGGGUAGGGGAGCGUUCUGUAAGCCUGCGAAGGUGACCUGUGAGGGUUGCUGGAGGUAUCAGAAGUGCGAAUGCUGACAUAAGUAACGAUAAAGCGGGUGAAAAGCCCGCUCGCCGGAAGACCAAGGGUUCCUGUCCAACGUUAAUCGGGGCAGGGUGAGUCGACCCCUAAGGCGAGGCCGAAAGGCGUAGUCGAUGGGAAACAGGUUAAUAUUCCUGUACUUGGUGUUACUGCGAAGGGGGGACGGAGAAGGCUAUGUUAGCCGGGCGACGGUUGUCCCGGUUUAAGCAUGUAGGCUGGUUAUCCAGGCAAAUCCGGAUAAUCAAGGCUGAGGUGUGAUGACGAGGUACUACGGUGCUGAAGUAACAAAUGCCCUGCUUCCAGGAAAAGCCUCUAAGCAUCAGGUAACAUUAAAUCGUACCCCAAACCGACACAGGUGGUCAGGUAGAGAAUACCAAGGCGCUUGAGAGAACUCGGGUGAAGGAACUAGGCAAAAUGGUGCCGUAACUUCGGGAGAAGGCACGCUGGUGUGUAGGUGAAGCCCCUGCGGGUGGAGCUGAGACCAGUCGAAGAUACCAGCUGGCUGCAACUGUUUAUUAAAAACACAGCACUGUGCAAACACGAAAGUGGACGUAUACGGUGUGACGCCUGCCCGGUGCCGGAAGGUUAAUUGAUGGGGUUAUCCGUAAGGAGAAGCUCUUGAUCGAAGCCCCGGUAAACGGCGGCCGUAACUAUAACGGUCCUAAGGUAGCGAAAUUCCUUGUCGGGUAAGUUCCGACCUGCACGAAUGGCGUAAUGAUGGCCAGGCUGUCUCCACCCGAGACUCAGUGAAAUUGAACUCGCUGUGAAGAUGCAGUGUACCCGCGGCAAGACGGAAAGACCCCGUGAACCUUUACUAUAGCUUGACACUGAACAUUGAGCCUUGAUGUGUAGGAUAGGUGGGAGGCUUUGAAGCGUGGACGCCAGUCUGCGUGGAGCCAACCUUGAAAUACCACCCUUUAAUGUUUGAUGUUCUAACGUUGGCCCCUGACCGGGGUUGCGGACAGUGUCUGGUGGGUAGUUUGACUGGGGCGGUCUCCUCCCAAAGCGUAACGGAGGAGCACGAAGGUUAGCUAAUCCUGGUCGGACAUCAGGAGGUUAGUGCAAUGGCAUAAGCUAGCUUGACUGCGAGCGUGACGGCGCGAGCAGGUGCGAAAGCAGGUCAUAGUGAUCCGGUGGUUCUGAAUGGAAGGGCCAUCGCUCAACGGAUAAAAGGUACUCCGGGGAUAACAGGCUGAUACCGCCCAAGAGUUCAUAUCGACGGCGGUGUUUGGCACCUCGAUGUCGGCUCAUCACAUCCUGGGGCUGAAGUAGGUCCCAAGGGUAUGGCUGUUCGCCAUUUAAAGUGGUACGCGAGCUGGGUUUAGAACGUCGUGAGACAGUUCGGUCCCUAUCUGCCGUGGGCGCUGGAGAAUUGAGGGGGGCUGCUCCUAGUACGAGAGGACCGGAGUGGACGCAUCACUGGUGUUCGGGUUGUCAUGCCAAUGGCACUGCCCGGUAGCUAAAUGCGGAAGAGAUAAGUGCUGAAAGCAUCUAAGCACGAAACUUGCCCCGAGAUGAGUUCUCCCUGAGACUUUAAGUCUCCUGAAGGAACGUUAAAGACGAUGACGUUGAUAGGCCGGGUGUGUAAGCGCAGCGAUGCGUUGAGCUAACCGGUACUAAUGAACCGUGAGGCUUAACCUU